rnacentral:rRNA from 1 species
GGGGAAUAUUGCGCAAUGGGGGAAACCCUGACGCAGCGACGCCGCGUGAGCGAAGAAGGCCUUCGGGUUGUAAAGCUCUGUUGUAAGGGACGAAAGAAUAAGGGAGUAACUGCCCUUAAAGUGACGGUACCUUACCAGCAAGCCCCGGCUAACUACGUGCCAGCAGCCGCGGUAAGACGUAGGGGGCGAGCGUUGUCCGGAAUUACUGGGCGUAAAGGGCACGUAGGCGGGUGUUUAAGUCAGGUGUGAAAGACCGCAGCUCAACUGCGGGGUUGCACUUGAAACUGAACAUCUUGAGGGCAGGAGAGGUUAGUGGAAUUCCUGGUGUAGCGGUGAAAUGCGUAGGAAUCAGGAGGAACACCAGUGGCGAAGGCGACUGACUGGACUGACCCUGACGCUGAGGUGCGAAAGCGUGGGUAGCAAAC